UCAAUAACUUUCACUUCUUUCCAACUUUUCUUCUACAUCCAAAGAAUCGUGAAGCUUCCUAUAUUCCUUUACAAUCUUCACAAUAAAAUUGAAAAUGUCCUUCAAAAAAUUCUUUUGAUUUCGUGAAGCUUUAUACCAUUUUCUUCUGUUAGAUUUGUACUGUUCAUAAAUAAUGAGAUUCUGCUACUAUUUUCUACCUUAAUUUGUCAGAUAAGUUAUCAACACGAUUGUUAGGGUUUUCAUACAUUAAUAUUGUCUAAUCAUAAUUAUUCUUCUGCCCUAAUCGUAUGUUUGAGAUCUUUUACUAUUCUUUUGCCUUUGUAAUUUUACUUAUUCAUGCCCUAAUUUUUGUAAAUUUACUACUGCCUUAAUUUCUAUUGCAGGUUAAUGAAGUUCGGUACAACGUCAAGGAUUUUGGUAUCACAUCAAUCUGGGAGUCCCAAGGGGUCGUACAUGUGUCUAGACUAUCUGAGCUCCUUGGACUCAAGGUUGAAAUGGCAAACGGUUGUAUCGGGAGGAAGUCCAGGAUUUGAUUAAUGCAAUUCGUGCUGGAGGUGUUGUGCUCCUUGAAAAUGUGAGAUUCUACAAAGGAGAAUUGACAAAUGACCCUGAGUUUGCGAGCAAUCUAGCAUCUAUUACUGACAUUUAUGUUAAUGCUUGUUAAUAAUAGCUCACAAAACUGAUGCUUGUGACAAUAUCUGUCAUCUCUGUUACAAGUAAGCAAAGGCAACUCUUCCUUGGUGGAAUCAAAAAAGGUCGUGGCACAAAACAUAUCCAAUGAUCAUCCGACACCCAAGGACCAAUCAUGGAUGAUUGUUGCAGUCCUGACUUUGAGUUGAAUACUUUUACCAGGAAUGUGGAUCCUGCAUUGAUGCGCAAUCUUUCGACAAUUUUGGCUGUGAGGAAUGUACAAAUCAGAAUGCGAAUGGAAAAGAAGGGAAUACUGGUUACCUGAUAUGCAUUGAGCGAUUUGGAGGUAAAGUAUGUCACCACGGAUUUUGUUUCAAAGAAUAAGCCAAGGUCUUCAUAGAAUGUGUCUAAAAUGCUUCUGCACCAAUCUAGGACCCUCCUCAAGGUGAUGAUUGUUUGUAUUGGUUGGUUGUAGUUGGGUGCUAUAUAUGAAAUAAGAAGCGGUUGUAAUCUGUAAAAUAAACUUUGGUUACUAUAGUCACAGAUUAUUAAGAUCAAUUCCAAGCGAAGACUUGCUGAUUUGCAGGACUAUUUGUUA